UGCAAUUUUAACUUUGCCCAUUUGGACCAUAUUGUGUGAUAUAUUUUAUUUGUGUAUACUUUGCUUGUUUGUGUGGUCUUUGACCAUUAAUGUACAUAAUAAUCAUAAAAACCCUAAAAAAAAUUUGAGUGGACUGUUGGCUGGAUCUUGAACAAAUAGACUUAGAAUCUAGGCAACCUUCCUAUGCUAAUGGACUUGGCCAAUGCCAACUUGUUGAAGAACCAAG
rnacentral:lncRNA from 1 species